CUAGGGAUGUUUAUUAAUGAGAGUUAACUACCAAUUGUUAGGGGGCUUGUUCCUUCACCCACUUACUUCCCUGGUCCUUCUCGCAUGAACAGAGAGCAACAAUAUCUGAAGUCCAAAGGUGCAAACAAUUCAAUGUUUAUUGGGGUGAACUUCCAGCAAGCAUGAUUCUCAUUUCCUUCCUUGUUGUCCCCUUCCCAGCUCUGACACCAAAGAGGCUUACCUGUGUCCCUGUUCCCAUUUCCCCCUUGAGCUAAACAUGAUUCCAAUUUUCCUACCCCCAUUUCCUGUUACCAUUUCCCCGUUUAGCAAAACAUGA